AGCGUACACGGUGGAUGCCUUGGCAGUUGGAGGCGAUGAAGGACGUAUUAACUUGCGAUAAGCCUAGUCAAGCUAGUAAAAAGCACUUGAGACUAGGAUUUCCGAAUGGGGAAACCCACCUGCUUGCAGGUAUCGUUAACUGAAUACAUAGGUUAACGAGGCGAACGCGGAGAACUGAAACAUCUAAGUACCCGUAGGAAAAGAAAUCAACCGAGAUUCCGGAAGUAGCGGCGAGCGAAACCGGAACAGCCCUUAAGCUUAUUAUGUGUUAAUGGAAGGCUCUGGAAAGUGCCACGAUACAGGGUGAUAGUCCCGUACAUGAAAAUGCAUUUUAAGUGAAAUCGAGUAGGUCGGAGCACGUGAAACUUUGACUGAAUAUAGGUGGACCAUCAUCUAAGGCUAAAUACUCCCAACUGACCGAUAGUGAACCAGUACCGUGAGGGAAAGGCGAAAAGAACCCCUGUGAGGGGAGUGAAAUAGAUCCUGAAACCGUAUGCGUACAAGCAGUGGGAGCAGACUUGUUCUGUGACUGCGUACCUUUUGUAUAAUGGGUCAGCGACUUACUGUCAGUAGCGAGCUUAACCGAGUAGGGGAGGCGUAGGGAAACCGAGUCUUAAUAGGGCGACGAGUUGCUGGCAGUAGACCCGAAACCGGGCGAUCUAUCCAUGGCCAGGUUGAAGGUGCCGUAACAGGCACUGGAGGACCGAACCCACGUAUGUUGAAAAAUGCGGGGAUGAGCUGUGGAUCGGAGUGAAAGGCUAAUCAAGCCCGGAGAUAGCUGGUUCUCCUCGAAAACUAUUUAGGUAGUGCGUCGUGUCUUACCCUGGGGGGUAGAGCACUGUUUGGGCUAGGGGGUCAUCCCGACUUACCAACCCCAUGCAAACUCCGAAUACCAGUGAGUACUAUCCGGGAGACACACGGCGGGUGCUAACGUCCGUCGUGAAGAGGGAAACAACCCAGACCGCCAGCUAAGGUCCCAAAGUCAUAGUUAAGUGGGAAACGAUGUGGAAAGGCCCAGACAGCCAGGAGGUUGGCUUAGAAGCAGCCAUCCUUUAAAGAAAGCGUAAUAGCUCACUGGUCGAGUCGGUCUGCGCGGAAGAUGUAACGGGGCUAAACUAUGCACCGAAGCUGCGGAUUCAAAAUUUAUUUUGAGUGGUAGGGGAGCGUUCUGUAAGCGGUUGAAGGUGUACCGGGAGGUAUGCUGGACGUAUCAGAAGUGCGAAUGCUGACAUGAGUAACGAUAAUGCGGGUGAAAAACCCGCACGCCGGAAGACCAAGGGUUCCUAUCCCAUGUUAAUCAGGGUAGGGUAAGUCGACCCCUAAGGCGAGGCCGAAAGGCGUAGUCGAUGGGAAACGGGUUAAUAUUCCCGUACUUGGUAUAAUUGCGAUGGGGGGACGGAGCAGGCUAAGCAAGCAUGGCGUUGGUAGUCCAUGUGAAAGUGAGUAGGUUGGUGACUUAGGAAAAUCCGGGUUGCUAAGACUGAGACACGAGACGAGUCACUAAGGUGAUGAAGUUGCUGAUGCCAUACUUCCAGGAAAAGCCUCUAAGCUUCAGAUUAUACCGAAUCGUACCCCAAACCGACACAGGUGGUCAGGUAGAGAAUACUAAGGCGCUUGAGAGAACUCGGGUGAAGGAACUAGGCAAAAUCGUACCGUAACUUCGGGAGAAGGUACGCUCCUAUCUGUGAUGAGACUUGCUCUCUAAGCGGACGGGAGCCGCAGUGACCAGGUGGCUGGGACUGUUUAUUAAAAACACAGCACUGUGCAAAAUCGCAAGAUGACGUAUACGGUGUGACACCUGCCCGGUGCCGGAAGGUUAAUUGAUGGGGUUAGUUUUCGGACGAAGCUCUUGAUCGAAGCCCCGGUAAACGGCGGCCGUAACUAUAACGGUCCUAAGGUAGCGAAAUUCCUUGUCGGGUAAGUUCCGACCUGCACGAAUGGUGUAACCAUGGCCACGCUGUCUCCACCCGAGACUCAGUGAAAUUGAAAUCGCAGUGAAGAUGCUGUGUACCCGCGGCUAGACGGAAAGACCCCGUGAACCUUUACUACAGCUUGGCACUGAACAUUGAACCUACAUGUGUAGGAUAGGUGGGAGACUUUGAAGCUUGGACGCUAGUCUGAGUGGAGUCGUCCUUGAAAUACCACCCUUGUAGUUUUGAUGUUCUAACUCUGGCCCCUAAUCGGGGUUGAGGACAGUGCCUGGUGGGUAGUUUGACUGGGGCGGUCUCCUCCCAAAGAGUAACGGAGGAGCACGAAGGUUGGCUAAGUACGGUCGGACAUCGUACGGUUAGUGUAAUGGUAGAAGCCAGCUUAACUGCGAGACAGACACGUCGAGCAGGUACGAAAGUAGGUCAUAGUGAUCCGGUGGUUCUGAAUGGAAGGGCCAUCGCUCAACGGAUAAAAGGUACUCCGGGGAUAACAGGCUGAUACCGCCCAAGAGUUCACAUCGACGGCGGUGUUUGGCACCUCGAUGUCGGCUCAUCACAUCCUGGGGCUGAAGCCGGUCCCAAGGGUAUGGCUGUUCGCCAUUUAAAGUGGUACGCGAGCUGGGUUUAGAACGUCGUGAGACAGUUCGGUCCCUAUCUGCCGUGGGCGUUGGAGAAUUGAGGGAAGCUGCUCCUAGUACGAGAGGACCGGAGUGGACGAACCUCUGGUGUUCGGGUUGUCACGCCAGUGGCAUUGCCCGGUAGCUAUGUUCGGACAGGAUAACCGCUGAAAGCAUCUAAGCGGGAAGCCCCUCCCAAGAUAAGUUCUCCCUGACCCCUUGA
rnacentral:rRNA from 1 species